UCUUUUAAAAAAAUUGAUUGAGAAAUAUUCUCCUAAUUUUCUCCCCAAAACACUCACGAUUUUCUCUCUCUCCCACUCCCCUAUUCUGUCGUCCCAUUCUUCACAUGUUUUUCCAUUUUCCUGUUUUUUCUCAAGCUACUUUCAACUCUUUCUCUAUCAUUUCUUUCCUCUAAUUUUCUCUUUUCCUUUUGCUUGUUUUCACAAUGCCAAUAACAUCCUUUACAGCCCUCUUUAGCCAAUUUUCUAUUCAAUGUUGCUUCCGUUUAGACGUAGUGACUUGCUAGUAUUGUCGUUGGUUGCCUUUUCUUAGUGUGUUGGUGGUGUUUCAGAGGUUUCGUGGGGUUGUCAUAAGUUUCUGUAAGCUAUUUGUUUGUUUUUGUAAGAAAGUUGUUUUAAUCUGGUUGGAUAGUUUUAAUUCGGAUUUUACGGAUGUGGGUUUGAUGGAUUAAUUGUUGGUUCUGUUUUGGUGAGGUGCAAGAAGCACACAACUUACAUCCAGCGAAUUAGAGGAUUUGUUGGGCUACUGCUCUGUUGGGUUCUAGAAUUCUCGAUGUUGUGUGGGCCUCGUGAAACAAUCAGGUUUGUACCUUCUGUCCUGAAAAAUAGCGAGUAGCGCUAUACGGAAAAACAUUCUAUUGGCGCCACACGAUUUGGGUCAAGUAGGCUGUGUCGACCACACGGGCGUGUAGGCCCAUUAUCCCUUUGACUACACUAUUUUGUAUAGUGACAUAAGCUCACUUAUUGGUGUGUGGGGUUGGAUAAGUAUUUAUUACCCUAUUUGGUGUGUAGGGAUGGAUGGAGAUAGUGCGUAACAGAUGGAGGUAGGAUCUAUAUUUGUUCUGUAAUAAGUGUUGCAUUGCAUGAUAUGACAUGCCAUCCGUAUCUGAUUUGAUAACUAUGUUGCAUUGUAUUGUAUGUCAUGCUGUGUAUUUUGUUCGUUUCCAAACUUCCGUGUGAUAAUGCUAUUUGUUUUGUUUGUA